GUGGGGAAUAUUGGACAAUGGGGGGAACCCUGAUCCCGCCAUGCCGCGUGUGUGAAGAAGGCCUUUUGGUUGUAAAGCACUUUAAGCGAGGAGGAGGCUACCGAGAUUAAUACUCUUGGAUAGUGGACGUUACUCGCAGAAUAAGCACCGGCUAACUCUGUGCCCGCAGCCGCGGUAAUUCAGAGGGUGCAAGCGUUAAUCGGAUUUACUGGGCGUAAAGCGCGCGUAGGUGGCCAAUUAAGUCAAAUGUGAAAUCCCCGAGCUUAACUUGGGAAUUGCAUUCGAGACUGGUUGGCUAGAGUAUGGGAGAGGAUGGUAGAAUUCCAGGUGUAGCGGUGAAAUGCGUAGAGAUCUGGAGGAAUACCGAUGGCGAAGGCAGCCAUCUGGCCUAAUACUGACACUGAGGUGCGAAAGCAUGGGGAGCAAACAGGAUUAGAUACCCGAGUAGUCC
rnacentral:rRNA from 1 species